CACGGAAUUAGCCGGUCCUUAUUCAUGCGGUACCUGCAAACAUCCACACGUGGACACCUUUAUCCCCGCAUAAAAGAGGUUUACAACCCAUAGGGCAGCCUUCCCUCACGCUACUUGGCUGGUUCAGCCUUACGGCCAUUGACCAAUAUUCCUCACUGCUGCCUCCCGUAGGAGUCUGGACCGUGUCUCAGUUCCAGUGUGGGGGACCUUCCUCUCAGAACCCCUACCGAUCGAUGCCUUGGUGGCCGUUACCCCGCCAACAAGCUAAUCGGACGCAUCCCCAUCCUUUACCGAUAAAUCUUUGCUCCGACACAGAUGUCCGGGACGGAGAACAUGGGGGAUUAAUCCCGCCGUUUCGACGGCUGGACCCCCAGUAAAGGGAGGUUGGAUACGCGUUACUCACCGUGCGCCGGUCGCCAUCGGCCCAUCCCCGAAAGACUACGGCCAGUCGCUCGCCCCCUCGACUUG
rnacentral:rRNA from 1 species